CCUACGGGUGGCUGCAGUGGGGAAUAUUGGACAAUGGGGGCAACCCUGAUCCAGCAAUGCCGCGUGAGUGAAGAAGGCCUUAGGGUUGUAAAGCUCUUUCACCCGUGAAGAUGAUGACGGUAGCGGGAGAAGAAGCCCCGGCUAAUUCCGUGCCAGCAGCCGCGGUAAUACGGAAGGGGCUAGCGUUGUUCGGAAUUACUGGGCGUAAAGAGCGCGUAGGCGGCUCUUCAAGUUAGGCGUGAAAGGCCUGGGCUCAACCUGGGAACUGCGCUUAAGACUGGCGAGCUUGAGUCCGGGAGAGGGUGGUGGAAUUCCCAGUGUAGAGGUGAAAUUCGUAGAUAUUGGGAGGAACACCAGUGGCGAAGGCGGCCACCUGGCCCGGAACUGACGCUGAGGCGCGAAAGCGUGGGGAGCAAACAGGAUUAGAUACCCUGGUAGUC
rnacentral:rRNA from 1 species